rnacentral:rRNA from 1 species
UUUAUGGGGUGACUGCGUACCUUUUGUAUAAUGGGUCAGCGACUUAUAUUCUGUAGCAAGGUUAACCGAAUAGGGGAGCCGAAGGGAAACCGAGUCUUAACUGGGCGUUAAGUUGCAGGGUAUAGACCCGAAACCCGGUGAUCUAGCCAUGGGCAGGUUGAAGGUUGGGUAACACUAACUGGAGGACCGAACCGACUAAUGUUGAAAAAUUAGCGGAUGACUUGUGGCUGGGGGUGAAAGGCCAAUCAAACCGGGAGAUAGCUGGUUCUCCCCGAAAGCUAUUUAGGUAGCGCCUCGUGAACUCAUCUCCGGGGGUAGAGCACUGUUUCGGCAAGGGGGUCAUCCCGACUUACCAACCCGAUGCAAACUGCGAAUACCGGAGAAUGUUAUCACGGGAGACACACGGCGGGUGCUAACGUCCGUCGUGAAGAGGGAAACAACCCAGACCGCCAGCUAAGGUCCCAAAGUCAUGGUUAAGUGGGAAACGAUGUGGGAAGGCCCAGACAGCCAGGAUGUUGGCUUAGAAGCAGCCAUCAUUUAAAGAAAGCGUAAUAGCUCACUGGUCGAGUCGGCCUGCGCGGAAGAUGUAACGGGGCUAAACCAUGCACCGAAGCUGCGGCAGCGACGCUUAUGCGUUGUUGGGUAGGGGAGCGUUCUGUAAGCCUGCGAAGGUGUACUGUGAGGUAUGCUGGAGGUAUCAGAAGUGCGAAUGCUGACAUAAGUAACGAUAAAGCGGGUGAAAAGCCCGCUCGCCGGAAGACCAAGGGUUCCUGUCCAACGUUAAUCGGGGCAGGGUGAGUCGACCCCUAAGGCGAGGCCGAAAGGCGUAGUCGAUGGGAAACAGGUUAAUAUUCCUGUACUUGGUGUUACUGCGAAGGGGGGACGGAGAAGGCUAUGUUGGCCGGGCGACGGUUGUCCCGGUUUAAGCGUGUAGGCUGGUUUUCCAGGCAAAUCCGGAAAAUCAAGGCUGAGGCGUGAUGACGAGGCACUACGGUGCUGAAGCAACAAAUGCCCUGCUUCCAGGAAAAGCCUCUAAGCAUCAGGUAACAUCAAAUCGUACCCCAAACCGACACAGGUGGUCAGGUAGAGAAUACCAAGGCGCUUGAGAGAACUCGGGUGAAGGAACUAGGCAAAAUGGUGCCGUAACUUCGGGAGAAGGCACGCUGAUAUGUAGGUGAAGCGACUUGCUCGUGGAGCUGAAAUCAGUCGAAGAUACCAGCUGGCUGCAACUGUUUAUUAAAAACACAGCACUGUGCAAACACGAAAGUGGACGUAUACGGUGUGACGCCUGCCCGGUGCCGGAAGGUUAAUUGAUGGGGUUAGCGGUAACGCGAAGCUCUUGAUCGAAGCCCCGGUAAACGGCGGCCGUAACUAUAACGGUCCUAAGGUAGCGAAAUUCCUUGUCGGGUAAGUUCCGACCUGCACGAAUGGCGUAAUGAUGGCCAGGCUGUCUCCACCCGAGACUCAGUGAAAUUGAACUCGCUGUGAAGAUGCAGUGUACCCGCGGCAAGACGGAAAGACCCCGUGAACCUUUACUAUAGCUUGACACUGAACAUUGAGCCUUGAUGUGUAGGAUAGGUGGGAGGCUUUGAAGUGUGGACGCCAGUCUGCAUGGAGCCGACCUUGAAAUACCACCCUUUAAUGUUUGAUGUUCUAACGUUGGCCCCUGAUCGGGGUUGCGGACAGUGUCUGGUGGGUAGUUUGACUGGGGCGGUCUCCUCCUAAAGAGUAACGGAGGAGCACGAAGGUUGGCUAAUCCUGGUCGGACAUCAGGAGGUUAGUGCAAUGGCAUAAGCCAGCUUGACUGCGAGCGUGACGGCGCGAGCAGGUGCGAAAGCAGGUCAUAGUGAUCCGGUGGUUCUGAAUGGAAGGGCCAUCGCUCAACGGAUAAAAGGUACUCCGGGGAUAACAGGCUGAUACCGCCCAAGAGUUCAUAUCGACGGCGGUGUUUGGCACCUCGAUGUCGGCUCAUCACAUCCUGGGGCUGAAGUAGGUCCCAAGGGUAUGGCUGUUCGCCAUUUAAAGUGGUACGCGAGCUGGGUUUAGAACGUCGUGAGACAGUUCGGUCCCUAUCUGCCGUGGGCGCUGGAGAACUGAGGGGGGCUGCUCCUAGUACGAGAGGACCGGAGUGGACGCAUCACUGGUGUUCGGGUUGUCAUGCCAAUGGCACUGCCCGGUAGCUAAAUGCGGAAGAGAUAAGUGCUGAAAGCAUCUAAGCACGAAACUUGCCCCGAGAUGAGUUCUCCCUGACCCUUUAAGGGUCCUGAAGGAACGUUGAAGACGACGACGUUGAUAGGCCGGGUGUGUAAGCGCAGCGAUGCGUUGAGCUAACCGGUACUAAUGAACCGUGAGGCUUAACCUU